CCUACGGGAGGCAGCAGUGGGGGAUAUUGCACAAUGGGGGAAACCCUGAUGCAGCGACGCCGCGUGUGGGAAGACGGUCCUCUGGAUUGUAAACCACUGUCCCCAGGGACGAAGAUGACGGUACCUGGGGAGGAAGCUCCGGCUAACUACGUGCCAGCAGCCGCGGUAAUACGUAGGGAGCGAGCGUUGUCCGGAAUUACUGGGUGGAAAGGGAGCGUAGGCGGGACUGCAAGUUGGGUGUCAAAUCUACCGGCUCAACCGGUAGCCGCACUCAAAACUGCAGGUCGUGAGUGAAGGAGAGGCAGGCGGAAUUCCUGGUGUAGCGGUGAAAUGCGUAGAUAUUAGGAGGAACACCAGUGGCGAAGGCGGCCUGCUGGGCUUUUACUGACGCUGAGGCUCGAAAGUGUGGGGAGCAAACAGGAUUAGAUACCCUUGUAGUC
rnacentral:rRNA from 1 species